rnacentral:rRNA from 1 species
AUGCACGCUGGCGGCGUGCCUCAUCCAUGCCAGUCGAGCGAACAGACGAGGAGCUUGCUCCUCUGACGUUAGCGGCGGACGGGUGAGUAACACGUGGAUAACCUACCUAUAAGACUGGGAUAACUUCGGGAAACCGGAGCUAAUACCGGAUAAUAUAUUGAACCGCAUGGUUCAAUAGUGAAAGACGGUUUUGCUGUCACUUAUAGAUGGAUCCGCGCCGCAUUAGCUAGUUGGUAAGGUAACGGCUUACCAAGGCGACGAUGCGUAGCCGACCUGAGAGGGUGAUCGGCCACACUGGAACUGAGACACGGUCCAGACUCCUACGGGAGGCAGCAGUAGGGAAUCUUCCGCAAUGGGCGAAAGCCUGACGGAGCAACGCCGCGUGAGUGAUGAAGGUCUUCGGAUCGUAAAACUCUGUUAUUAGGGAAGAACAAAUGUGUAAGUAACUAUGCACGUCUUGACGGUACCUAAUCAGAAAGCCACGGCUAACUACGUG